rnacentral:rRNA from 1 species
UACGUAGGCAGCGAGCGUUGUUCGGAAUUACUGGGCGUAAAGAGUGUGUAGGCGGUGCUCUAAGUUCGGUGUGAAAUCUCCCGGCUUAACUGGGAGGGUGCGCCGGAAACUGGAGUGCUCGAGCGUGGGAGAGGAAAGCGGAAUUCCUGGUGUAGCGGUGAAAUGCGUAGAUAUCAGGAGGAACACCUGUGGUGUAGACGGCUUUCUGGACCAAAGCUGACGCUGAGACACGAAAGCGUGGGUAGCAAACAGG